rnacentral:rRNA from 1 species
UACGGAGGAUGCGAGCGUUAUCCGGAUUUAUUGGGUUUAAAGGGUGCGCAGGCGGAAUGUCAAGUCAGCGGUAAAAUUUCGGGGCUCAACCCCGGCGAGCCGUUGAAACUGGCUGUCUUGAGAUGUCGAGAAGUAUGCGGAAUGCGCGGUGUAGCGGUGAAAUGCAUAGAUAUCGCGCAGAACUCCGAUUGCGAAGGCAGCGUACCGGCGCCGGACUGACGCUGAGGCACGAAAGCGUGGGUAUCGAACAGG